GAUGAAGAACGUAGCGAAAUGCGAUAAGUAGUGUGAAUUGCAGAAUUCAGUGAAUCAUCGAAUCUUUGAACGCACAUUGCGCCUCCUGGCAUUCCGGGAGGCAUGCCUGUUCGAGCGUCAUCAAACCCCAUCGUGCAAAUGAAUUAUUUUUUUUGCGCGGAAGUGACGAUUGAGCGAGAAUAACAAAUCCUCUCGCACCUCGUCGAAAUGAUUGCGGGCGGAAUUUGGGAUCGGGUUCCUCGGCGUAGUGUAACAAUGCAUAUUUAUGCAACUUGCCGCGGAUUUGAGCCUGACCCACGCGUUCUCGACGUACAAACACCUCAUUACUUUACAAGUUUUUGACCUCGGAUCAGGUAGGGAUACCCGCUGAACUUAAGCAUAUCAAUAAGCGGAGGA
rnacentral:misc_RNA from 1 species